UGUUGUUUGGGUUUUUGAGCCUGGGUCUCACAAUGUAUCCCUGGCUGGCCUGAAACUAUGUCUCGAACUUCCACGUGACCAGAGCCUGCGCAACCACAGUCCUUAAGAUUGGUGCUCUUCGGGAGCGGCGAACGGAAGUUCCGCGAGUUGGCGCUCGCUAAACUGCAGACUCCCGGGCCUAGAUUACGUCACGUCCGGAAGCUGUUCCCCGCAGGCCACAGAAUUCGUUUUCCAACCGGAAGAGGGCAGGGCUUCCGUGCACGCCGGGCUUCUGCUGCAUCUAACAUUGGCGGGAACCUGGCAAGUUGACCGGUGCUGUGCGGGCGAUGGCGUCGCGUCGGGGAGCGCUCAUCGUGCUGGAGGGUGUGGACCGUGCUGGCAAGACCACGCAGGGCCUCAAGCUGGUGACCGCGCUGUGCGCCUCGGGCCACAGAGCGGAGCUGCUGCGUUUCCCCGAAAGAUCAACGGAAAUCGGCAAGCUUCUGAAUUCCUACUUGGAAAAGAAAACGGAACUAGAGGAUCACUCCGUGCACCUGCUCUUCUCUGCAAACCGCUGGGAACAAGUGUAAAGACCUGCGUCGUUGCUCCCCGGUUGUAACAUGCACACUUUUGUGUGUGGCAAGGGUGCGAGCACCUGUGUGUGGCAUGUGUGCAAACACCCGCACGUCGAGACCAGAGGCCAGCUUGGGAGGUUUCCUCUACCCUACCAUUCGACGCCGUAUUUGAGAUAAAAAAAUCGACGUAUUUGAGAUAAAAAAUCGUCGUAUUUGAGAUAAAAAAUCGCCGUAUUUGAGAUAAAACAUCGUCGUAUUUGACCAUCGUAUUUAACCACAUCCGGCUUGUUUUGUUUUAUUAAAAGGUUUUUUUUUUGAUUUGGUUUUUGGUUUUGUUUUUUUGAUACUAGGUUUCCCUACAUAACAGUCCUGACUAUCCUGGAACUUGCCUUAUAGACCAGGCUGGCCUCAUAAAAAAUAUGUAUUCGUUUUUGUGUAAUAUAAAUGGCUACCUGUAUGUGCACCUCAUGCAUACCUGCUGCCCAAGGAAGACAACUCCUGUAACUAGAGUUACUGAGAGUUGUAAGCUGUCAUGUGAGUUCUGGGAACCAAACCUGGGUCCUUGGCAAGAGCAGUAAGUGCUUUUAACUGCUGAGGCAAGGUUUGUUUUGUUUUGUUUGUUUUUGUUUUUUCGAGACAGGGUUUCUCUGUAUAGCCCUGGCUGUCCUAGAACUCACUUUGUAGACCAGGCUGACUUUGAACUCAGAAAUCUGCCUGCCUCUGCCUGGGAUUAAAGGCGUGCACCACCACACCCGGCUUGUUUUGUUUUAUUAAAAGUUUUUUUUUUUUUUUUUUGGUUUGGUUUGGUUUUUGGUUUUGUUUUUUUUUUGAUACUAGGUUUCCCUACAUAACAGCCCUGACUAUCCUGGAACUUGCCUUAUAGACCAGGCUGGCCUCAUGCCUAGCUGAGAUAAUUUUGGGAUACACUGGCCUUUGUGCUUCUGGGUCCUGUCUGUCUCCCUAAAUGUCUUUCUUCCUGCUGGCUUAUAUCUGGGUUCUGGGGUACUAGAAAUCCAAACCCCAGUCUUCCUGUUAUAUGGCAAACAGUUUAUCCAUAGAGCCACAUCUCCAGCCCCCAGCCUUUUGUUUUUUGUCUUUGUUUUUAAGAUACUUGGUCCCCUCUGUAGCUCAGAGUGUCCUCUAAGUAACGAUAACCCUUCCUUCUCAGCCUUUUAAGUGCUAGCUAUUUUCAUUUUCUUCUCUUUUUUUCCUAGAUGAAGUUUCUCAGUGUAGCCUUGGCUGUCCUGGAACUCACUCUGUAGACCAGUCUGGCCUUGAACUCACAGACAUCCUACCUGCCACUGCCUCCUGAGUGCUGGGAUUAAAGGCAUGUGCCACCACCACCCAGCUAAGUUAGCUGGUGUUGUGUUGUUGUAUUGUUGCAUUUGCAGAGAAUAUACUUUGUAUGUCUGUCCUUUGUCAGAUAUGCUUUUUUUUUUUUUUUUUAUUGUCUGGAUUGCUUUUCUUUCUUUUUGUUUCUUACACUUAUUUAUUACACAUACAGCUUCUGGCCUACAGGCCAGAAGAGGGUGCCAGAUCCCAUUACAGAUAAUUGUGAGCCAUCGUGUAGGUGCUGGGAAUUGAACUCAGGACCUCUGCAAGAGCAGGCAAUGCUCUUAACCUCUGAGCCAUCUCUGCAGCCCUCAGCUAUGCCUUUUAUACAUCCUGUCUCCCGUUCUAUGGCUUGUCUCUUACAUGGCACAGCUACAUUUUCCAAGGCUGUCAGUUCUCGAAUUACUUUGAUUUUUGGUGUUAUCAAACCCAAGGGCAUCCAGGUUCUCUCUCCUUCAUUCUCACUUUCCUUUAAGGAGUUUCUCUUAGCCAUUUAGGUCUGGGGUCUAUUUUAAUUCUGUGAAGGUUGUAAGAUCUGAGUUUAGAUUUCAACCUUCCUCGCCCAUGCCCCAGAAUCAGUUGCCUCUUGUGAGGUGUGCUAACUGAGAAGAGUCUGACUCCCUUCUGUGGCCUCAGUGAUACCUUCUUGCUCAAGCCAAGCCCUCCACCUUUGCACAUCUAAGAUUUUGCACACUGGUAAUGAUGACCAUUAAUUAAGGCGAAGUUGAACCAGGGUGUGACCCUUGUUUUGGACAGAUACGCCUUUUCUGGGGUUGCCUUCACUGGUGCCAAAGAGAAUUUUUCCCUGGAUUGGUGUAAACAACCGGACGUGGGCCUUCCCAAACCUGACCUGAUCCUGUUCCUUCAGUUACAAUUGCUGGACGCUGCUGCACGGGGAGAGUUUGGCCUUGAGCGAUAUGAGACCGGGACUUUCCAAAAGCAGGUUCUGUUGUGUUUCCAGCAGCUCAUGGAAGAGAAAAACCUCAACUGGAAGGUGGUUGAUGCUUCCAAAAGCAUUGAGGAAGUCCAUAAAGAAAUCCGUGCACACUCUGAGGACGCCAUCCGAAACGCUGCACAGAGGCCACUGGGGGAGCUAUGGAAAUAAAUCAGCUUCCAUUGCCAAUACAAUUUUCUGGUUCUGCAAGAGACUGGUAGAAGGCUCACAUCUCUACACUAUUCAGCAGGAGCUAGUUCUCAGCAGAAGAGAUCUACAAGACCCCUCUCAUAACCUGAGAUUUAAGUUGUGCAGUAUCUCUCUUUACCUACUGCUUGGCUGUAAAGGUGUAGCAGUUUCCUUGAGAUCAAUUGGUGAGAAAUCACAUUUUUUUUACAGAAUAAAAAUUUACCCAAAAAUA